CAGUAGCCACGGUAAAACGUAGGUGGCAAGCGUUAUCCGGAAUUAUUGGGCGUAAAGGGCUCGCAGGCGGUUUCUUAAGUCUGAUGUGAAAGCCCCCGGCUCAACCGGGGAGGGUCAUUGGAAACUGGGAAACUUGAGUGCAGAAGAGGAGAGUGGAAUUCCACGUGUAGCGGUGAAAUGCGUAGAGAUGUGGAGGAACACUAGUGGCGAAGGCGACUCUCUGGUCUGUAACUGACGCUGAGGAGCGAAAGCGUGGGGAGCGAACAGGAUUAGAUACCCCAGUAGUCCCUGUCUCUUAUAC
rnacentral:rRNA from 1 species